rnacentral:tRNA from 1 species
GGUGCAAUGGGAGCACGCAUGACUUGUAAUCAUGAAGUAUAGGUUCAAAUCCUAUC